rnacentral:lncRNA from 1 species
UUGCAAUGAGCAAAUUCAGAAAAGGCAUGCUUUUGAGAGCUUCCAACGUUUGUGUUUGGAAAGAAACAGAAAUUGAAAGGCAGAGGACAGCUUACGAUAUUUUCUCUCGGUGAAAUUCCGAAGGCGGCAAUGAUGGAUUGGCGGUGUGGUAGUGGCGCUUUCCUGGCAGCGGCAAUCAGCAAUUCCUCCGCCCCAUUUUCUGCCCGAGAUUCCUCCUCAGUUGCUCCCUUUUUGCUCUGCCUGAAGCUUCCAAUUUUCCUUUCGGAAGUUUUUUCCUUUUCCCAUUCUUUUCCUUCUGCCCGUAACCGCUAGCUUCCUUCCACGGCUCUCCCUUUUUGAUGUUUGCUUUUUCCCAGCUCUCCCCUGCAACCUUCCUCCGACCUCUCUUUUCUUUUCCGUUCACCACCCUAAAACUUCUUCUCGUUGCCUGUUUUCUUUUCUCUGCUCUAAAGCCCGUUGCUUCCGCUUGUUCGUGUUUUUUCAGCCCCUCCGUCCGCCGCCAACUUCUUUAUUUUUCUCGGCUUUAUUUUUUGCUGAAGCCUCUCUCGGCCUCCUCUCUUUGUUUCUGCUAUCC